CACUGUGGAAUGUGAUGAUCUUGGCUUAAAAUCACACAGUUUAACACUUCUGAACACACUUAACCUCCAGUUUCAUCUUGAGUUGCACGCCAGGUUUGAGAGAGGCUGAACAGGAUGGUUUUCUGUGGAGCUGAGAAGGACGAGGGGUGACUUGAUUGAGUGGGCGAAGGGUGGACCACAUUUCCCCACCAUUCCCUGUGAGUCUCUGACCCAAUGGACAUGUUCACGGGGCAGGAGAAUGGCAGCAGGUGGAAGAUAUGGUUGUUGCCCUGGAAUCAAAACUUAACAAAAAGAAUUUUCAAGUACUUGAGAAGCUGAAAACAACAAGAGUGAGAGUGAACCCUGCAUCUGACAGGAUAGCUCUGUGCUGCAUUGGAACAGGUCAGAUGGCCUUGCAGGAACAAACAAGCUACAGACUGAGCUUUUGACAAUUAAUUUCUGCACUAUCACAUCAAACAAGAGGCUCAACACCAACAGGACAACACAUCAUCUGCUAAUGUUCUGGGGUUUUUUGCUGAACCUCAGUGCGUAUGACAGUAAUAAAUCAAUUUACCAAGUUCUCCAAGUCCCUUGGACCACAGGUAUCACAUUCCAUUGAAGUGCUCACAACCACAUCAAGCCAGACAGUCAGGCCUUAAAGGCUCCAUAGACUGCAGAAGCUGGAACCUUGGACCGACAAAUAAUCUGAUUCUGAUUAAGUCCUGAUGAAGGGCCUCAACCCAAAACAUCAAUUAUUUAUUCCUCUUCAAAGAUGCUGCCUGACCUGCUAAGUUCCUCCAGCAUUUUGUGGGUGUCGCUACAGAUUUCCAGAAUCUCUUUGUGUUUUAUGAUUUGCUGGAAAAGCUCAGCAGGUUGAUCCGUGGGGAGAAAGGAAUCACUGUCAUUUUGAUCAAAAAUGUUGACAAUUCCUCCCCCCCCCAUCCCUCCACGGAUGCCCUUUGACCCUCUGAGUUCUUCUAGCACAGGGGUUGGCAACGUUUACCACUGAAAGCCAAUAUGGACCCAUUUCCCACAGAAAACACUGGGAGCCACAAAACCUGUUUGAUAUUUAAAAUGAAAUAACACUGCAUACAACGUUUUUUUUGCCUUUAUGCUAUGUAUAAACAAACUAUAAUGUGUUGCAUUUAUGAAAUUGAUGAACUCCUGCAGAGAAAACGAAAUUACAUUUCUGCAUGCAACAAAAACAUUUUGAACUCCGAAAAAAAGACGUUGGGUUGAAGGUUACUCCAUAGUUAGCCUACCUUGGAUCGAAGAAUUGAAAGAAAGCACGCACUGGCGGGUGUCAGGCAUUGGCAGUGGUGAUGUAUAUUAAUAGCGAUAAAAAACACAUUGUAGCGGUGUGCUACACGCAGCGCUAAAAUAAAGACACUGCAGUCAAAGGUAGCUUUAUUCGAACUAAACAGCCUUGCUUUAAAGCCUCCCUCAACCCGCCCCCCCGUGGGCGCGGAUGCUCCAAAAGACACGUACUCACAAACCCCCGUAGGCUAUCUCCCUUAGCCGGAACGGUGGCUAAUUGUGAGCCGGUUUGGAUGUGCCAGGAAAUGAGGUCUCCACAAAGUUUUUAGAUUGUACAAGAUCACCAUAAUCUUCAAAUUUCGAAUUACAUUUCAAAAACUAACAAACCACGGGGAGCCGCAUCACAGAGAUCAAAGAGCCACAUGCGGCUCUGGAGCCGCGGGUUGCCGACCUCUGUUCUAGCAGCUUGUGUGUUAGUCCAGCCUCGGUCACUGUUGAUUACUUUCUGCCACUAACACACUUGAAGCAAUAGUGUGCUGCUACAAUGUGAUAAAUCACAACUGCUCACCAACAAUGGUAUAAUUCAAACAAAUGUUCGGCUUUUUUUUUGAGGAAUGAGAGAAAACAAUAAUUUUGAAAAUAUUUGCCAUGUGCAGCCUCUAUUUCAGAUUACAGUCAUGCUAUACUCCUUUUUUAAGUAAAAACUGUAGGCUUUCCUGUUCUAUUUUAAACCUUCAUCUAAUCUAGUUCGCAGAAAAGAUAAAGACUAUUUGUCACAUGUACAUCAAAACAUACAGUGAAAUGUGGCAAUUGCAUCAAUAACUGUCCAAGGAUGCGCUGGGGGCGGCCCAUAAGUGUCGCCAUCUUCCGGCACCAACAGAGCCUGGCCAAAACUUACUAACUUUAACCCUCACCUAUACUUCCAUGUUGGGAUUAGGAGUAAGGAGAAGGACAUAAAGAAACUUCAAGUGGCUAAGGAAAGCAGAGAACUCAUUAAGUGAAGGGAGACUGGGUAAUGUUGAUGUUUCGAGGUACCCUGUUGUGCUUGGAUUCAAAAUACUGAAACACACAGAGGUACAAUAUGGUGAUUAGAAAUGGUAGUCAGCCUUACUUUUAAGGAAGGAUGUGAAUACAGGAUUAUGUUAAUACAGACUUACUGUGACCACAUUGGGCCCUGGUGACACUACAUCAUGUUCACGUUCAGGUUCAUUGUCAGUUGACUGUACAUGCAUACAGCCAAAUAAAUCAGUUUUCCUCUGGAACACGGUGCACCCACAAAACAUACAUCAUUCACAGCACACAAACCUAAGUAUUACCAUAAAUAAUUCAAUAAAAUAUAAUUAAAAAUGCAUAUAGUGUGCAGCACAGGUGAGCAGUAAUCAGUUGCCUGUCCGAGUGACAAGACCUCGGUGGUGGCAGGGUUUUCCUUAGUUAGUCUCACAGCUUGAGGGAAGAAGUUGUUACCCAUUCUGGCAGCCCUGGUCCUGGUGCUGUAGCACCUCUUCCCUGACGGUAGUGGGUCAAAGAGAUGGUGGGAUGGGUGGUAGGAUCCACAACAAUGCUUUGAUUCGAAGUACGUGUAAUGCACAGCACAAGUAAACAGUACAAUAAGCAGCUCGCUGUACAGUAAGGUGGCAGCACACUUGGACACAGUGUCUUCCAUGGAACCAACCAAAGAUGUUAUUGCCUUUGUUUUUUAAAACACAGUUUUUAUAAUUACAAGUCCCUGCUGGACAUUAAAAACUCAAAGUACUCCAGGUCUACUCCAUCAGUGGAGAAACUGAAGGAGCUGGACUUAGUGCAAUUUGUGCUGCUCCCUGUGUCAGAGGCAUCAGGGGUGUUGGUCCUUAAAAGCAGUGUGCAGUCUAACAGCAAGUCUUUGUUGCUUUUCUUGCCAUCGAAUAACCCUGCUGGACAUCGGUAAUGUGGAAUGCCACAAGUCCGAUUUACUAGUUUAUUUGCGGUUGCCAGCGGUAGGAUAUGGGGAAGCUGUAUGGUCUCAGCUGUAGUGAGUGCUAGGCCUCAAGCCGUGGUGUUGCCUGCUUACAGCCACCCAGGAGAGGCAUCAGAACUGUGCACUCCACCGGAGGUGACAUGGUGUGGCAUUGAAGCUGGUGUCAGUGCUGCCAUCCAGAGUUCACAUGGCAGAAGACAAGCCGUAUUGUGUUCGACUGCUGACUGCUGCAACAUUCAUUAAAUCAGGGACUUGGAUUACAGUCGGCCCUCCUUAUCCGCGGGGGAUUGGUUCUGGGACCCCCCGCGGAUACCCAAAAACGCAGAUGCUCAAGUCCCUUAUUUAACCUGUCUCAGUGCGGUGGUCUUUAGGACCCAGCACAGCUCUGAAUCCGCAGUGUUUCUGUUCACAAAAUUAAUCACGAUCACGAUUAAAAAUAAAGUGAAAGUAAUAAAGCAAUCAGAAAGAGGUGAAACACCAUCAGUCAUUGGAAAAGCAUUAGACUACAGUCGGUCAACAAUCAGAACAAUUUUAACGGAGCAUGUGAAAGGCCCUGCCCCGAUGAAAGCUACAAUUAUUACUAAGCAAUGCAGUGGUUUAAUUAUUGAAAUACAUACGUUUCUUAAGUGUUUUAUAUGCAUAGAAAGGUAAAAUAUAUACUAUAUACUAAGACAAACGUUUGACUAACUGACGCUAAAUAAUACCGGAUGUACCUGUUCCAACUUCAAAUCUGUUUUAAAGAUGGACUCAGGAACGGAGCUCUUUCAUAACCCGGGGACUGCCUGUACUUUUAAAUCAUCUCUAGAUUACUUAUAAUACCUAAUACAAUGUAAAUGCUAUGUAAAUAGUUGGUAUACUGUACUGUUUAGGGAAUAAUGACAAGAAAAAAUAGUCUGUACAUGCACAAACAACGAGUGCUGGAGACAGAACUUCUGGGGUUUCCUGAUCUGCGGUUGGUUGAAUCCACGGAUAAGGAGGGCUGACCGUAUGUUUUUUUUAAGUAUGUGACUUUUUUUCUGUUAUCUUAUAUAUGCUGUGUGUGACUAUUAGUACUGUGUUUUGUACCUUGGUCCUGGAGUAACGCUGUUUCA